ACAUAAAAAUUUUCUAUUCUCAUAUUUAAUUUACUUGCUUUAUGCUUGCUUUGCUUAUUUCUUAAUGAUAUUAAUGAAAUUCAAAAAACAUAAUUAUCUACUACAUCUCACCCCGACAUAAAAGCAAGGAUAGGAUGGAGGGUUGGGAAAUAUACUUUACCAUAUUUAUUUCUUCCUACCACACCUCAAUAUUAUAUAUAUACAUAAAAAAAAAUAUGUAUA
rnacentral:lncRNA from 1 species